AUCCAACUAACGAGCCCCAAACAGGACGAAAUGCGCGUCCUGGAU
rnacentral:hammerhead_ribozyme from 1 species